rnacentral:rRNA from 3 species
GGUUAAGCGACUAAGCGUACACGGUGGAUGCCCUGGCAGUCAGAGGCGAUGAAGGGCGUGCUAAUCUGCGAUAAGCGCCGGUAAGGUGAUAUGAACCGUUAUAACCGGCGAUACCCGAAUGGGGAAACCCAGUGUGACUCGUCACACUAUCAUUAACUGAAUCCAUAGGUUAAUGAGGCGAACCGGGGGAACUGAAACAUCUAAGUACCCCGAGG